rnacentral:rRNA from 1 species
AUUGAACGCUGGCGGCAUGCCUUACACAUGCAAGUCGAACGGCAGCGGACCUUCGGGUGCCGGCGAGUGGCGAACGGGUGAGUAAUAUAUCGGAACGUACCUUUCAGUGGGGGAUAACGUAGCGAAAGUUACGCUAAUACCGCAUAUUCUGUGAGCAGGAAAGCAGGGGAUCGCAAGACCUUGCGCUGAUUGAGCGGCCGAUAUCAGAUUAGCUAGUUGGUGAGGUAAAGGCUCACCAAGGCGACGAUCUGUAGCGGGUCUGAGAGGAUGAUCCGCCACACUGGAACUGAGACACGGUCCAGACUCCUACGGGAGGCAGCAGUGGGAAUUUUGGACAAUGGGCGCAAGCCUGAUCCAGCCAUGCCGCGUGCGGGACGAAGGCCUCGGUUGUAACCGC